GACUGGAAGCGUGAGUUACAGGGCAAAACUCAGAAAGAAAAAGCAUAGGAAGGGGCUAAUCUCAGUAUACGGUUUUAGCGAAGCAUCAAGCAAAGAACGACCAAAUGUUCCUCUCGUCUGGGAAUUUUGCAGGCUGGCUUUGGGUAGAGUAUUUAUCUAACUUGCUUUUUCCCAUGUGAAAUGGGAAUACUGCUUCAGGGGAUAGCUUUUACCUCUCAAGAACUGAGAAACCUUCUGUUCAAAGUGACAAAAGCCUGGAGUCCUGAUCCUCUUCCAGCACCGUACCCGGUUGACGGCUCCCGGUGAGGCCCAGCAUUCCGGCAGAGCCACAGCGGUGGCGGAGAGCGGCGGUGGACGACGACGUUCGCCUGGGUUGCUGCCGCGCUUCUAUAGCGUAAUGCACCAAAAUAAACCCCUGCGAGGUCCCACCCAGCGGGGCCCGAUCCUGCCGCUGACGAACCGCAGGAGACUGCUUUGACGAGAGGCUGAGCUGCUUUCCCCCCCCCCCCCCCAGACCCCCCAAAAAACGACGUGAAG